rnacentral:rRNA from 1 species
UACGUAGGGGGCUAGCGUUGUCCGGAAUCAUUGGGCGUAAAGCGCGUGUAGGCGGUCCGGUAAGUCCGCUGUGAAAGUCGAGGGCUCAACCCUCGAAUGCCGGUGGAUACUGUCGGGCUUGAGUACGGGAGAGGCGAGUGGAAUUCCUGGUGUAGCGGUGAAAUGCGCAGAUAUCAGGAGGAACACCUAUAGCGAAGGCAGCUUGCUGGGACGUAACUGACGCUGAGACGCGAAAGCGUGGGGAGCAAACAGG